CUCCGACGCUUGGCCUCGCCCCUAGCACCCGGGCGACGAUUCUCUUGCUUCUCUGAGAACUUGCUUUCCCAAUUUGAGUUUAGGCGUCGAAUCAGAUCGAUGGAUCUCAUGGAUUCAGAAAGCCAAGCCAUGGAUUCGGCGUCGCUGCUGCCACCAGAUGGAAGAUGGUUAGCCUGGAUGAGCCGCCACAAUUCCUCGCCAGUGCACCCGCUGGACGACGAGGACCUCCUGCAGGAGAUUCUCCUCCGCCUCCCUCCGCAGCCAUCAUCUCUCCCCCGCGCUUCCCUCGUCUGCCCGCGCUGGCAUCGCAUCCUCUCCGACCCCAAGUUCAUCAAAAGUUUCCGUAGACACCAUCGGAAACCCCCGGUUCUCGGUUUCUUCUUCACUGAAUUGGACAAUACUUUCUCGGUUGCCGCCAUGGCCUCGCCAUCCUAUCGAACUUGCACCUGCGUGAGAUCAUCGUGUGGGAUCCCCUCAGUGGUCAACAACACCGCGUGACUUUUCCAGCGGGGCUUGACCACAACAAAGUGACGUACUAGCAUGCCGAAGUGUUGUGCGCUGAUGCCGAAUAUGGGCAUGUGCACGGCGAUUGCUUCUCGAGCCCGUUCAAAUUGGUCGCAAUCUGGGUCGUCAGAUGCACGCAGGCAUUUGCUUGCCUCUAUGAAUCAGCCACCGGUGUAUGGGGAGACACUCUCCUCACGAAGGUUACAAAACAGAUUUACAAUUAUAGCAUGAGGCCUGGCGUUCUUAUUGGGAAUACACUUUGUUGGUUGCUUUCUGGCGGUGACAUUCUGGCAUUUUGUCUUGAAAGCCAGAGCCUUCGUGUGAUGAACAAGCCGUUGGAAAUCAAGUACACCUCGGGAUCUAUUCAGCUCUUAAGAACAAAGGAUUGUGGUAUUGGCCUCGCAUAUUUGUUAGAAAUGACCAUUCAAUUAUGGGAGAGGAAAUCAAAUUAUGAUGGCAUCGUCGGCUGGGUGCUUCCGCAAAAAACUAUUCAACUGCAGGAGGUCUUUCCAGAAGGAAUGUUUAGUGAGAGGAAAAGGGUGCACAUAACAGGGUAUUCUGAGGAAAAAAAUGUGAUUGUUCUGUCUGUGUUGAGAGAUGACUUCAUGCUGCAAGUUGACACGAUGGAGAUCAAACAUAUUCAGCAAAGAAAAGGAGAUGGAUUUACCUUUCCGUACACAAAUUUCUAUGCUGCAGGUAUGCAAGUUGCUGGUGGAGAGAUAGGCGAUGAAACUUUGGACGUAGUGGAGGAACUAAUGCGCUAUCUCGGUGUCCCUGCUCAUCUUGAUGUUGAUGAGUUUUGAAGCAUUGCUGGUGGACAAGGUGAAGCUCAAAAUGAGGACAUAGUCCAUUCUUGCGCUCUCUAUUGAGUCGACUCUGAACUUGAUCCUUCUUGUAACAUGUUGGUUGUUUCGUCUUGGAUGGUGUUGCUUGUGAAGUGGGCUUGUCGUCCAGUGUAUCAUGGAGUUGCUUCGGUUAAUAUGCUUGGAU